rnacentral:ncRNA from 1 species
AUAUUCCGACAGGGGAGCGCCACAGCGCUGAGAGUGCGGCACCGGGCCGCAGACCCUCUGAACCUCGCCCAGGUCAUUCUGGGUAGGAAGUUCGGUCAUCACUCAAG